AGAGUUUGAUCCUGGCUCAGAUUGAACGCUGGCGGCAUGCCUUACACAUGCAAGUCGAACGGCAGCACGGAGCUUGCUCUGGUGGCGAGUGGCGAACGGGUGAGUAAUAUAUCGGAACGUACCCUAGAGUGGGGGAUAACGUAGCGAAAGUUACGCUAAUACCGCAUACGAUCUAAGGAUGAAAGUGGGGGAUCGCAAGACCUCAUGCUCGUGGAGCGGCCGAUAUCUGAUUAGCUAGUUGGUAGGGUAAAAGCCUACCAAGGCAUCGAUCAGUAGCUGGUCUGAGAGGACGACCAGCCACACUGGAACUGAGACACGGUCCAGACUCCUACGGGAGGCAGCAGUGGGGAAUUUUGGACAAUGGGCGAAAGCCUGAUCCAGCAAUGCCGCGUGAGUGAAGAAGGCCUUCGGGUUGUAAAGCUCUUUUGUCAGGGAAGAAACGGUGAAAGCUAAUAUCUUUUGCUAAUGACGGUACCUGAAGAAUAAGCACCGGCUAACUACGUGCCAGCAGCCGCGGUAAUACGUAGGGUGCAAGCGUUAAUCGGAAUUACUGGGCGUAAAGCGUGCGCAGGCGGUUUUGUAAGUCUGAUGUGAAAUCCCCGGGCUCAACCUGGGAAUUGCAUUGGAGACUGCAAGGCUAGAAUCUGGCAGAGGGGGGUAGAAUUCCACGUGUAGCAGUGAAAUGC
rnacentral:rRNA from 1 species